CCUACGGAGUGCUGCAGUGGGGAAUAUUGGACAAUGGGCGAAAGCCUGAUCCAGCCAUGCCGCGUGUGUGAAGAAGGCCUUCGGGUUGUAAAGCACUUUCAGUGGGGAAGAAAGCCUUGGGGCUAAUACCCUCGAGGAAGGACAUCACCCACAGAAGAAGCACCGGCUAACUCCGUGCCAGCAGCCGCGGUAAUACGGAGGGUGCGAGCGUUAAUCGGAAUUACUGGGCGUAAAGCGCGCGUAGGCGGUCUGAUAAGCCGGUUGUGAAAGCCCCGGGCUCAACCUGGGAACGGCAUCCGGAACUGUCAGGCUAGAGUGCAGGAGAGGAAGGUAGAAUUCCCGGUGUAGCGGUGAAAUGCGUAGAGAUCGGGAGGAAUACCAGUGGCGAAGGCGGCCUUCUGGACUGACACUGACGCUGAGGUGCGAAAGCGUGGGUAGCAAACAGGAUUAGAUACCCCUGUAGUC
rnacentral:rRNA from 1 species